UUCCAGAUGAUUGCUAACUUGUGUGUGUGU
rnacentral:piRNA from 1 species